UACAGAGGUCCCAAGCGUUGUUCGGAUUCACUGGGCGUAAAGGGUGCGUAGGUGGUGAGGUAAGUCGGAUGUGAAAUCUCCGGGCUCAACCCGGAAAUGGCAUUGGAAACUACCUUGCUGGAGGAUUUGAGGGGGGAUUGGAAUACUUGGUGUAGCAGUGAAAUGCGUAGAUAUCAAGUGGAACACCAGUGGCGAAGGCGAAAUCCCUGGAAAAUACCUGACACUGAGGCACGGAAAGCUAAGG
rnacentral:rRNA from 1 species